UGGUGGGAUCCCAGGGGGACCCGACUUCCCCUGAGUUGUUCCAGACAGAGACAUCCUGAGGCUGGGGCCCUUGCUGGAGGAAGGUGAGCCAAAGGUGAUGCCUCAGAGGUGAUCUCUCGAGAGUGACCAGGCCUGUGUCACCUUAACAGUGGCUACAGGAGCCUGUCUGGAAGGUGGCACCUGGGUGAGACCCAUUUGAAGGGGCAGCAACCUUGGGGAGCUCUUGGAAAGAUGGCUCCUGAGCUGGGGACGGCAGGUACAAAGAUCCUGAGUUUCAGACUGGUGGUCUCCAGACUAUGAGCUAUGCAUGACUUUCCAGGAGAAAGAGAGAGAAAUCGGGCUGAGCAAGUCAUAGUGCGCAAGCCAGUACACAGCACUCAUCCAUGGUCUCUGCUUCAGUUCCUGCCUCAGGUUCCUGCCUUCAGUUCCUGCCUUGA